rnacentral:lncRNA from 1 species
GUCGCGUACUGCCUGGACAAGAGGCAUCAUUAUGUCGACAACGAGACUCGGGUUGUUCCCCGAGGCUUGCCUGAUCCUGCGCUCGUUGAUCCUCCGGGCGUAGGUCUCUGGGUCGGUUUCCCAAAUAUCUUCUUUAAAGACACCCCCGUCGUCGCCAUCGAUGAUAGCCCCUGUCGUGUCGGACACGAGCAGACGCCUGAUCAGUGAGCCUCCCUGACUGAUCAAGACCGCGCGGACGAGGUCAGCGGCAGUGGUCUGGCCGUCGGGGCGCCAUGGGACGACGGACGAAAUGGCAAGAAUAUAGGGUCUUUGUAUCUCUCCAGUGGGGGCAACGACGGGCCACCUUUGGCGGGCUUUGGCAAUGUCGACAUCCGAGGCCAGUUUGGGCGCGGUGGGGUCGAUGCGCGCACCAUAUUUACCCGGCUCCAUCUUGGCGACGCGCUUGCCGAAAUUACUCAACAUGUCGGCGACUCUUUCGGCAGUGGCGAACCCGUCACCCGCAUAGUCCUUGGUGGUCAGGUCGAGUAUCAUGGCGUCCGAAUCGACGGGUCCGUAGCCCAGGGCCCGACUGGCGAUCUCGUUCAUGCGCACAAGCACCGUCACGGGCGAGGGAGGCCACAGGCGCCCGCCCUCGGCCAGUGGAUCUACCAGUGGCCUAAUCCACUCGGGACCACCCAUAGUCGGUGGGUAAUCGUAUCCAUCUUUGUCUCGAUUGUACCUCGAACCAACAUUGGGUUUAGACAGCACCUCUAGAAGCCGAUCGUAGGCUGACGGCAGCGCUUGUAUCUCAAGUGUGGGCUGGCCGGAAGACGACGCCAUGGAAAACUGUUGGAGUGUCUGUAGCAGGGCCGCCGCGCGUGGAUCGAUCCCACGGUACAGGCCCCGCGGGGCCAUUUCAUCGAUCCACUGCCGGAGGGCUUCCGGCGAGUCGAGACCGCUGUCGACGGCCCACUGACGCACGGCGUCCCAUCCUACCGUCUCCUGCGGCAGAUUUCGAGCGGCGGUCUGGCGUGCGGCCUGCAUCUGACUGUCUUUGUCUGGCACAAACCACCUCGAUUUCCUUUUCUGUCUAGGUGGACUCGCGGUGACGAAUCGUGUGAGGUUCCUUGCCCAGCGGACGCGGAAACUUGGUGGCCGGCCUACAAAGUUUACGGCGCAGCAUCUCCGAGGCAGCAUCGAUUGGCCUGCCGAAAGCAAUCCCUGUGCUGGCCAAUGGCUGGCCGGCCCCUAGCCGGCCCGGCUGUGAAUGGGUCGACCGGGCUGCGACCAAGUCAAUCUCUGGCAGGAAUCGAACCCGCCAACACUGCUUUCUGUAUUGUCAAUAAAUUGUACACAAGUCAUGCUUGGAAAAAAAGAUGCGAAC